rnacentral:rRNA from 1 species
AGUGAACGCUGGCGGUAGGCCUAACACAUGCAAGUCGAACGGCAGCACAGUAAGAGCUUGCUCUUACGGGUGGCGAGUGGCGGACGGGUGAGGAAUACAUCGGAAUCUACUUUUUCGUGGGGGAUAACGUAGGGAAACUUACGCUAAUACCGCAUACGACCUACGGGUGAAAGCAGGGGAUCUUCGGACCUUGCGCGAUUGAAUGAGCCGAUGUCGGAUUAGCUAGUUGGCGGGGUAAAGGCCCACCAAGGCGACGAUCCGUAGCUGGUCUGAGAGGAUGAUCAGCGACACUGGAACUGAGACACGGUCCAGACUCCUACGGGAGGCAGCAGUGGGGAAUAGUGGACAAUGGGCGCAAGCCUGAUCCAGCCAUACCGCGUGGGUGAAGAAGGCCUUCGGGUUGUAAAGCCCUUUUGUUGGGAAAGAAAAGCAGCAGGUUAAUACCCCGCUGUUCUGACGGUACCCAAAGAAUAAGCACCGGCUAACUUCGUG